UACAGAGGUGGCAAGCGUUGUUCGGAAUUACUGGGCGUAAAGGGUGCGUAGGCGGUUCUGAAAGUCUGAUGUGAAAUCUCCAGGCCCAACCUGGAAACUGCAUUAGAAACUACAGGGCUAGAGGCUUGGAGGGGGAACUGGAAUUCUCGGUGUAGCAGUGAAAUGCGUAGAGAUCGAGAGGAACACCAGUGGCGAAGGCGAGUUCCUGGACAAGUCCUGACGCUGAGGCACGAAAGCCAGGGGAGCAAACGGG
rnacentral:rRNA from 1 species